rnacentral:rRNA from 1 species
UACGUAGGCAGCGAGCGUUGUUCGGAAUUACUGGGCGUAAAGAGUGUGUAGGCGGUGUUCCCAGUCUGUUGUGAAAUCUCCCGGCUUAACUGGGAGGGUGCAGCGGAAACUAGAAUGCUAGAGGGUGGGAGAGGUAAGCGGAAUUCCUGGUGUAGCGGUGAAAUGCGUAGAUAUCUGGAGGAACACCGGUGGCGAAGGCGGCAUCCUGGACCGGUAUUGACACUGAGGCGCGAAAGCCAGGGGAGCAAACGGG